rnacentral:rRNA from 1 species
GAUGAACGCUGGCGGCAGGCUUAACACAUGCAAGUCGAGCGGAAACGAUUCUAGCUUGCUAGAAGGCGUCGAGCGGCGGACGGGUGAGUAACGCGUAGGAAUCUACCUAGUAGUGGGGGACAACAGUUGGAAACGACUGCUAAUACCGCAUACGCCCUACGGGGGAAAGCAGGGGAUCUUCGGACCUUGCGCUAUUAGAUGAGCCUGCGUCGGAUUAGCUUGUUGGUGGGGUAAUGGCCUACCAAGGCAACGAUCCGUAGCUGGUCUGAGAGGAUGAUCAGCCACACUGGGACUGAGACACGGCCCAGACUCCUACGGGAGGCAGCAGUGGGGAAUAUUGCACAAUGGA